rnacentral:rRNA from 1 species
GGGCCCGCACAAGCGGUGGAGCAUGUGGUUUAAUUCGAUGAUACGCGAGGAACCUUACCAGGGCUUAAAUGUAGUGGGACAGGUCUAGAGAUAGACCCUUCUUCGGAGCAGAUUACAAGGUGCUGCAUGGUUGUCGUCAGCUCGUGCCGUGAGGUGUUAGGUUAAGUCCUGCAACGAGCGCAACCCCUAUUCUUAGUUGCCAGCGGUUCGGCCGGGGACUCUAAGAAGACUGCCAGCGCAAGCUGAGAGGAAGGUGGGGAUGACGUCAAAUCAUCACGGCCCUUACGUCCUGGGCUACACACGUGCUACAAUGGUAGAGACAGAGGGCAGCCACCUGGUGACAGGGAGCGAAUCCUUAAACUCUAUCUCAGUUCGGAUCGAAGUCUGCAACUCGACUUCGUG